CAGAGGGUGCGAGCGUUAAUCGGAAUUACUGGGCGUAAAGCGCACGUAGGCGGCUUGGUAUGUCGGGUGUGAAAUCCCCGGGCUCAACCUGGGAACUGCACCGAACUGCCUUGCUCGAGUAUGGGAGAGGGAAUGGAAUUUCCGGUGUAGCGGUGAAAUGCGUAGAUAUCGGAAGGAACAUCAGUGGCGAAGGCGACUUCCUGGACCAAUACUGACGCUCAGGUGCGAAAGCGUGGGGAGCAAACAGGAUUAGAUACCCUGGUAGUCCACGCCCUAAACGAUGAGAACUGGAUGUCGGGAGGGUCUGCCUUCCGGUGUCGUAGCUAACGCGUUAAGUUCUCCGCCUGGGAAGUACGGCCGCAAGGUUG
rnacentral:rRNA from 1 species